GACGAACGCUGGCGGCGUGCUUAACACAUGCAAGUCGAACGGAAAGGCCCUGCUUUUGUGGGGUGCUCGAGUGGCGAAGGGGUGAGUAACACGUGUGUAACCUGCCCUUGACUUUGGGAUAACUUCAGGAAACUGGGGCUAAUACCGGAUAGGAGCUCCUGCUGCAUGGUGGGGGUUGGAAAGUUUCGGCGGUUGGGGAUGGACUCGCGGCUUAUCAGCUUGUUGGUGGGGUAGUGGCUUACCAAGGCUUUGACGGGUAGCCGGCCUGAGAGGGUGACCAGCCACAUUGGGACUGAGAUACGGCCCAGACUCCUACGGGAGGCAGCAGUGGGGAAUAUUGCGCAAUGGGCGGAAGCCUGAGGCAGCAGCGCCGGGUGCGGGAUGACGGCUUUCGGGUUGUAAACCGAUUUCGCCUGUGACGAAGCGUGAGUGACGGUAAUGGGUAAAGAAGCACCGGCUAACUACGUG
rnacentral:rRNA from 1 species